rnacentral:misc_RNA from 1 species
ACAAAAAGGGAAAAAGGGCGUGGCGGGGCGCAAGCUCGUUUCCACGUUCUGCUCCCGAAAAUCCUGUAUUCACCCCAAGUUCCUUAAAAAUUUCAAUAAAAAAACUUUGCAAAAGACCACUUUAUUAAAGUGGCAUCUAAUUGCACAAAGCGAA